rnacentral:rRNA from 1 species
CACGUAGGGUGCGAGCGUUGUCCGGAAUUAUUGGGCGUAAAGAGCUCGUAGGCGGUGUGUCGCGUCGGCCGUGAAAACUUGCAGCUUAACUGUGGGCGUGCGGUCGAUACGGGCAUCACUGGAGUUCGGCAGGGGAGACUGGAAUUCCUGGUGUAGCGGUGAAAUGCGUAGAGAUCAGCAGGAACACCCGUGGCGAAGGCGGCCCCCUGGGCCGUACCUGACGCUGAGGCGCGAAGGCUAGGGGAGCGAACGGG